rnacentral:rRNA from 1 species
AACCCGUUUUUGACUUUGGGAUAACUUCAGGAAACUGGGGCUAAUACCGGAUAGGAGCUCCUGCUGCAUGGUGGGGGUUGGAAAGUUUCGGCGGUUGGGGAUGGACUCGCGGCUUAUCAGCUUGUUGGUGGGGUAGUGGCUUACCAAGGCUUUGACGGGUAGCCGGCCUGAGAGGGUGACCGGCCACAUUGGGACUGAGAUACGGCCCAGACUCCUACGGGAGGCAGCAGUGGGGAAUAUUGCACAAUGGGCGGAAGCCUGAUGCAGCAACGCCGCGUGCGGGAUGACGGCCUUCGGGUUGUAAACCGCUUUCGCCUGUGACGAAGCGUGAGUGACGGUAAUGGGUAAAGAAGCACCGGCUAACUACGUGCCAGCAGCCGCGGUGAUACGUAGGGUGCGAGCGUUGUCCGGAUUUAUUGGGCGUAAAGGGCUCGUAGGUGGUUGAUCGCGUCGGAAGUGUAAUCUUGGGGCUUAACCCUGAGCGUGCUUUCGAUACGGGUUGACUUGAGGAAGGUAGGGGAGAAUGGAAUUCCUGGUGGAGCGGUGGAAUGCGCAGAUAUCAGGAGGAACACCAGUGGCGAAGGCGGUUCUCUGGGCCUUUCCUGACGCUGAGGAGCGAAAGCGUGGGGAGCGAACAGGCUUAGAUACCCUGGUAGUCCACGCUGUAAACGGUGGGUACUAGGUGUGGGGUCCAUUCCACGGGUUCCGUGCCGUAGCUAACGCUUUAAGUACCCCGCCUGGGGAGUACGGCCGCAUGGCUAAAACUCAAAGGAAUUGACGGGGCCCCGCACAAGCGGCGGAGCAUGCGGAUUAAUUCGAUGCAACGCGUAGAACCUUACCUGGGUUUGACAUGGAUCGGGAGUGCUCAGAGAUGGGUGUGCCUCUUUUGGGGUCGGUUCACAGGUGGUGCAUGCCUGUCGUCAGCUCGUGUCGUGAGAUGUUGGGUUAAGUCCCGCAACGAGCGCAACCCUUGUUCACUGUUGCCAGCACGUUAUGGUGGGGACUCAGUGGAGACCGCCGGGGUCAACUCGGAGGAAGGUGGGGAUGACGUCAAGUCCUCAUGCCCCUUAUGUCCAGGGCUUCACGCAUGCUACAAUGGCUGGUACAGAGAGUGGCGAGCCUGUGAGGGUGAGCGAAUCUCGGAAAGCCGGUCUCAGUUCGGAUUGGGGUCUGCAACUCGACCUCAUGAAGUCGGAGUCGCUAGUAAUCGCAGAUCAGCAACGCUGCGGUGAAUACGUUCCCGGGGCU